CCUUUUGGUGGAAUCUUUUGGGUUUCAUAGGUGUAGAUCAUAUCCUCAGCAAAGAGGAGUAAUUUAAUUUUCUCAUUUUCUAUUUGGAUGCCUUUGUUUAAAAGUAGUUAAGAGACUUUAUUCUAAUAGCUAUGAUUACAGUGCUUGUUUGUCAAAAUGAAAACUGAAAACAAGUAUACAAAACUGUUAUUUACUAAUCAUGUAUUGAAAGCAGUAAGAGGUUCCACGACACCAAAUAGACCAGUUCUGAGGUUUCCCCAAGAUAAAUUUAAGAGCUCCAGCUUCUUCAGUGUUUAUCAAAAUACAAAAGAAAAAAGUAGAGGUUGUCUUUUCCGAUGGCAAAUCGGACCCUUGCAGGCUGACGGAGAGAACACCAAGUCACACACGGAGGUGGGGUGCUCCCGAGAGGCUGUGGGUCUAGGUGAACUGCCUGCCAGGCUUGCACGCUCUCCUGCUGGUGAGGCCCCAGACAUCCUGCCAAAGUGUCUGAGCGAGCACUAGUGCUGGGGAUGAUGGACCCACUCUGGCCACAUGAAGACCAAGGGACAGGUGGGGCCCUGCGUCCCAAAGGCUGCCUGAAGGUGGGUGAGGUGGCCUGAAGGUGGGUGAGGUGGCCUGCAGGAGAGUGGGGCAGCUGUGGGCUCCCAAUCUGGCCCCUGGGAACAGUGGGGGCACAGGGACAAGCACAUGGCUAUGGAAUGCAGGGUGACCCAAGGACAAGCGAGUUGCGGGGAUCUCUAUUGUGACCAUGCAGAAUUCUGAAAAUGAAUUCUGCCACACCACAGCCUCAUGUUCUAAAGGCAACAGACGGGCUGGCAACCGGCAUCCAGGCCAUAACUGCAAAUCUAUGGUAGGCAGGGUCUCCCUUCUGUGUGUUCAAGUGUUCUUGACUUGGAUUUUUAACUAUUUUUUAAAAUGCAUUGAGUUUGGGUUAAAAACCAACCACCAAAAUGGAUUUCAACACAGCUCUAAAGCCAAGAGCAUGUCCGGUUCGCCCAACACAGUGACUCCUGGAGGCCAGGUGCCCACGAGCCUACAUCCUCUCUCAGCACUCAACAGUUGUACAGGAAGCGUGAUGUCGACAUCUACUCAGCUUCUGGGGAGGCCUCAGGAAACUUACAGUCAUGCCAGAAGGCAGAGGGGGAGCAGGCACUUCACAUGGCAAGACCAGGAGCAAAGGAGAGAUGAGGGAGGUCCCACACACUUUUAA
rnacentral:lncRNA from 1 species